rnacentral:rRNA from 1 species
AUGAACGCUGGCGGCGUGCCUAAUACAUGCAAGUCGAGCGAACAGACGAGGAGCUUGCUCCUCUGACGUUAGCGGCGGACGGGUGAGUAACACGUGGAUAACCUACCUAUAAGACUGGGAUAACUUCGGGAAACCGGAGCUAAUACCGGAUAAUAUAUUGAACCGCAUGGUUCAAUAGUGAAAGACGGUUUUGCUGUCACUUAUAGAUGGAUCCGCGCCGCAUUAGCUAGUUGGUAAGGUAACGGCUUACCAAGGCAACGAUGCGUAGCCGACCUGAGAGGGUGAUCGGCCACACUGGAACUGAGACACGGUCCAGACUCCUACGGGAGGCAGCAGUAGGGAAUCUUCCGCAAUGGGCGAAAGCCUGACGGAGCAACGCAGCGUGAGUGAUGAAGGUCUUCGGAUCGUAAAACUCUGUUAUUAGGGAAGAACAAAUGUGUAAGUAACUAUGCACGUCUUGACGGUACCUAAUCAGAAAGCCACGGCUAACUACGUG